rnacentral:rRNA from 1 species
CCUACGGGAGGCAGCAGUGAGGAAUAUUGGUCAAUGGACGAUAGUCUGAACCAGCCAAGUAGCGUGAAGGAUGACUGCCCUAUGGGUUGUAAACUUCUUUUAUAUGGGAAUAAAAUGUUCCACGUGUGGGAUUUUGUAUGUACCAUAUGAAUAAGGAUCGGCUAACUCCGUGCCAGCAGCCGCGGUAAUACGGAGGAUCCGAGCGUUAUCCGGAUUUAUUGGGUUUAAAGGGAGCGUAGGUGGAUGGUUAAGUCAGUUGUGAAAGUUUGCGGCUCAACCGUAAAAUUGCAGUUGAAACUGGCAGUCUUGAGUACAGUAGAGGUAGGCGGAAUUCGUGGUGUAGCGGUGAAAUGCGUAGAUAUCACGAAGAACUCCGAUUGCGAAGGCAGCUCACUGGACUGCAACUGACACUGAGGCUCGAAAGUGUGGGUAGCAAACAGGAUUAGAUACCCGAGUAGUC